rnacentral:rRNA from 1 species
UCGCUAAACUGACUGAGUCRCUGAUCAGCCGCUGACGUAGAGCCUCGUCGUUAGUUCGCUGUACGGACGACAGUACCAGCGUCACUGCUGUAUCUGGMCAGGUAGCUUAUCCAGAAAUGUCCACGGCUAGUUACGUGACUUGCCAGCGCAGUAUUACGUAAGUUGGCUAGCGUCGUUCUGAACUACUUGGGCGUAAAGCGCGCGGCAGGUGGCUCCUUAAAGUCUGAUGGUGUAAAGCCCACGGCUCAUCCGUCGGAGGGUCAUGGGAAACUGGGGAACUUGAGUGCAGAAGAGGAAAGGUGGAACUUCCUAAGUGUUGCGGUGAAAUGCGUAGAGAUUUGGAGGAACACCAGUGGGGAAGGCGACUUUCUGGUCUGUAACUGACACUGAGGCGCGAAAGCGUGGGAGCAAACAGGAUUAGAUACCCUGGUAGUACACGCCGUAAACGAUGAGUGCUAAGUGUUAGAGGGUUUCCGCCCUUUAGUGCUGCAGCUAUCGCAUUAAGCACUCCGCCUGGGGAGUACGGCCGCAAGGCUGAAACUCAAAGGAAUUGACGGGGGCCCGCACAAGCGGUGGAGCAUGUGGUUUAAUUCGAAGCAACGCGAAGAACCUUACCAGGUCUUGACAUCCUCUGACAACCCUAGAGAUAGGGCUUUCUCCUUCGGGGGACAGAGUGACAGGUGGUGCAUGGUUGUCGUCAGCUCGUGUCGUGAGAUGUUGGGUUAAGUCCCGCAACGAGCGCAACCCUUGAUCUUAGUUGCCAGCAUUCAGUUGGGCACUCUAAGGUGACYGCCGGUGACAAACCGGAGGAAGGUGGGGAUGACGUCAAAUCAUCAUGCCCCUUAUGACCUGGGCUACACACGUGCUACAAUGGAUGGUACAAAGGGCUGCAAACCUGCGAAGGUAAGCGAAUCCCAUAAAGCCAUUCUCAGUUCGGAUUGCAGGCUGCAACUCGCCUGCAUGAAGCCGGAAUCGCUAGUAAUCGCGGAUCAGCAUGCCGCGGUGAAUACGUUCCCGGGCCUUGUACACACCGCCCGUCACACCACGAGAGUUUGUAACACCCGAAGUCGGUGAGGUAACCUUCAUGGAGCCAGCCGCCUAAGGUGACGAUUCG